GCCUGAGUGGCGGAAUGGUAGACGCGACGGACUCAAAAUCCGUUUCUUUCAGUAGAGUAAGGGUUCGAGUCCCUUCUUAGGCACCA
rnacentral:tRNA from 1 species